UAACCUAUUUUAAUUGGUAGGUAUUAAAUGUGUGUACUAAGAGUAGUUAUAAAGAAAGAUCUGUAUACAAGCAUGUGUACAGUGAGAGACAAAAGCCUUCUGAGAGAAGAAUGUUCAGGAGGCAGAGUGAAUGCUAAAGCCGCAUAACUGAGAAGCCCAGGAAAACCUCAGAAGAUACUUAUUGGAAUGAAGCCCUCUUUAUAGACAUAAGACCCCAAAGGAGCCUGGAGUGGUUUGGCAAAAAAAGAAAUCUCAAGCUUGCUGUUUAGUGGGGCUUUGCCAAGCCAACAACACUGUAAUUGCAUCUUUCCACUGGCUUACAUUACCCAUCCCCCAUCCCACCCACCUCUCCUUUCUUCCCAACAGUCUUUUGUGUGUCCUGACAAAAAUAUGCUAUUAUAAUGAAUACUGUAUGUUUACAAUAAGUUUCAGAGGAUUUGGUAGCCAAAAAGAUAAAGAUAUUUUAUUAGUAGCUUUCCAAUGGAGAUAAUAUUUGUAGA